rnacentral:rRNA from 1 species
GAUGAAGUUCCUUCGGGAAUGGAUUAGUGGCGAACGGGUGAGGAACACGUGAGAAACCUGCCUUUCAUUCUGGGAUAACACCGGGAAACCGGUGCUAAUACCGGAUACUCCAUCUUGGCGGCAUCGCCGAGCUGGGAAAAAAUUUUGAUGAAAGAUGGUCUCGCGGCCUAUCAGCUAGUUGGUGAGGUAAAGGCUCACCAAGGCGACGACGGGUAGCCGGCCUGAGAGGGCGACCGGCCACACUGGGACUGAGACACGGCCCAGACUCCUACGGGAGGCAGCAGUAGGGAAUAUUGGGCAAUGGGCGAAAGCCUGACCCAGCGACGCCGCGUGAGGGAUGAAGGUCUUCGGAUUGUAAACCUCUUUCAGUAGGGAAGAAGCGAAAGUGACGGUACCUAAAGAAGAAGCACCGGCUAACUAUGUGCCAGCAGCCGCGGUAAUACAUAGGGUGCAAGCGUUGUCCGGAAUUAUUGGGCGUAAAGAGCUCGUAGGUCGUUUGUCGCGUCGAUUGUGAAAAUCUGAGGCUCAACCUCAGACCUGCAGUCGAUACGGGCAAACUAGAGUGUGGUAGGGGAGACUGGAAUUCCUGGUGUAGCGGUGGAAUGCGCAGAUAUCAGGAGGAACACCAAUGGCGAAGGCAGGUCUCUGGGCCAUAACUGACACUGAGGAGCGAAAGUGCGGGGAGCGAACAGGAUUAGAUACCCUGGUAGUCCGCACCGUAAACGGUGGGCACUAGUUGUGGGAACCUUCCACGGUUUCCGCGACGCAGCAAACGCAUUAAGUGCCCCGCCCUGGGAGUACGAUCGNCAGAUUNAAACUCAAAG